rnacentral:rRNA from 1 species
UGGCGAACGGGUGAGUAAUACAUCGGAACGUAUCCUGUAGUGGGGGAUAGCCCGGCGAAAGCCGGAUUAAUACCGCAUACGACCUGGGGGGAGAAAGCGGGGGAUCUUCGGACCUCGCGCUAUAGGGGCGGCCGAUGGCAGAUUAGCUAGUUGGUGGGGUAAAGGCCUACCAAAGCGACGAUCUGUAGCUGGUCUGAGAGGACGACCAGCCACACUGGGACUGAGACACGGCCCAGACUCCUACGGGAGGCAGCAGUGGGGAAUUUUGGACAAUGGGCGAAAGCCUGAUCCAGCAAUGCCGCGUGUGUGAAGAAGGCCUUCGGGUUGUAAAGCACUUUUGUCCGGAAAGAAAACUUCGGGGCUAAUACCCCCCGGAGGAUGACGGUACCGGAAGAAUAAGCACCGGCUAACUACGUGCCAGCAGCCGCGGUAAUACGUAGGGUGCGAGCGUUAAUCGGAAUUACUGGGCGUAAAGCGUGCGCAGGCGGUUUGUUAAGACCGAUGUGAAAUCCCCGGGCUUAACCUGGGAACUGCAUUGGUGACUGGUAGGCUUUGAGUGUGGCAGAGGGAGGUAGAAUUCCACGUGUAGCAGUGAAAUGCGUAGAGAUGUGGAGGAAUACCGAUGGCGAAGGCAGCCUCCUGGGUCAACACUGACGCUCAUGCACGAAAGCGUGGGGAGCAAACAGGAUUAGAUACCCUGGUAGUCCACGCCCUAAACGAUGUCAACUAGUUGUUGGGGAUUCGUUUCCUUAGUAACGUAGCUAACGCGUGAAGUUGACCGCCUGGGGAGUACGGUUGCAAGAUUAAAACUCAAAGGAAUUGACGGGGACCCGCACAAGCGGUGGAUGAUGUGGAUUAAUUCGAUGCAACGCGAAAAACCUUACCUACCCUUGACAUGGUCGGAAUCCUGCUGAAAGGUGGGGGUGCUCGAAAGAGAACCGGCGCACAGGUGCUGCAUGGCUGUCGUCAGCUCGUGUCGUGAGAUGUUGGGUUAAGUCCCGCAACGAGCGCAACCCUUGUCCUUAGUUGCUACGCAAGAGCACUCUAAGGAGACUGCCGGUGACAAACCGGAGGAAGGUGGGGAUGACGUCAAGUCCUCAUGGCCCUUAUGGGUAGGGCUUCACA